rnacentral:rRNA from 1 species
GUGCCAGCAGCCGCGGUAAUACAGAGGCCUCGAGCGUUAAUCGGAAUCACUGGGCUUAAAGGGUGCGUAGGCGGGUCCGUAAGUGCCUUGUGAAAUCCCCUGGCUUAACCAGGGAACGGCUGGGCAGACUGCGGGCCUUGAGGUCGGUAGGGGUCGCUGGAACGGUUGGUGGAGCGGUGAAAUGCGUAGAUAUCAACCGGAACGCCAAAGGUGAAGACAGGCGACUGGGCCGACUCUGACGCUGAGGCACGAAAGCGUGGGGAGCAAACGGGAUUAGAUACCCCGGUAGUCC